GCUCAAAAGAUCUCUUAAAUAAAUGUUUUUUUUUAAGAAAUAAGGAGGAUUAUAGCACAACACACUUGUCUUUUCUACCCAAAUAUAGUUUUCUUUCAGAACUCCAACAACAGAAUACUAGUCUUCCCCCACAGUAGAGUGCUGAACUAACAAAAAAAAAAACAGAGAACAAAAACCAAAGAGAAAGAAAAGAGAAGAAGGAGAGAGGAAAUCAAGAGAGAUAGAAGAUUAGCUAGAAAGGUCUUAUUCCUCCGCACUAGUCUCCAGCGCCACUCGAUCAGCCAAAAAAAGUAUCACCCUUAGCCUCGCCUUCAGCUACACUAGGUAAGCCUUUCAUUUCCCCCGAUUUUCUUUUUAAUUACCUUAUUCCUAUAGUAAAUGUUCGUGAACAAUUCACACACGCCUGCUAAUAAUGGUCGGCUUGGUCACUAGGUCGGGCCAAUGACCAAGCUAGGCCGGCUGGAUCAAGCCCAGCCUGUACGGCUUUUUUCCC
rnacentral:lncRNA from 1 species